rnacentral:piRNA from 1 species
UAAUAUGCAAAAGAUUAAUAACAUAAGAGUG